AUUGAACGCUGGCGGCAGGCCUAACACAUGCAAGUCGGACGGUAGCACAGAGGAGCUUGCUCCUCGGGUGACGAGUGGCGGACGGGUGAGUAAUGUCUGGGGAUCUGCCCGAUAGAGGGGGAUAACCACUGGAAACGGUGGCUAAUACCGCAUAACGUCGCAAGACCACAGAGGGGGACCUUCGGGCCUCUCACUAUCGGAUGAACCCAGAUGGGAUUAGCUAGUAGGCGGGGUAACGGCCCACCUAGGCGACGAUCCCUAGCUGGUCUGAGAGGAUGACCAGCCACACUGGAACUGAGACACGGUCCAGACUCCUACGGGAGGCAGCAGUGGGGAAUAUUGCACAAUGGGCGCAAGCCUGAUGCAGCCAUGCCGCGUGUAUGAAGAAGGCCUUCGGGUUGUAAAGUACUUUCAGCGGGGAGGAAGGCGAUAAGGUUAAUAACCUUGUCGAUUGACGUUACCCGCAGAAGAAGCACCGGCUAACUCUGUGCCAGCAGCCGCCGUAA
rnacentral:rRNA from 1 species